UGGCUCAGAACGAACGCUGGCGGCAGGCNUAACACAUGCAAGUCGAGCGCACCUUCGGGUGAGCGGCGGACGGGUUAGUAACGCGUGGGAAUAUGCCCAGAUCUACGGAAUAGCCUCGGGAAACUGAGAGUAAUACCGUAUACGCCNUACGGGGGAAAGAUUUAUCGGAUUUGGAUUAGCCCGCGUUGGAUUAGGUAGUUGGUGGGGUAAUGGCCUACCAAGCCGACGAUCCAUAGCUGGUUUGAGAGGAUGAUCAGCAACACUGGGACUGAGACACGGCCCAGACUCCUACGGGAGGCAGCAGUGGGGAAUCUUGGACAAUGGGGGCAACCCUGAUCCAGCCAUGCCGCGUGAGUGAUGAAGGCCUUAGGGUCGUAAAGCUCUUUCGCCUGUGAAGAUAAUGACGGUAGCAGGUAAAGAAACCCCGGCUAACUCCGUGCCAGCAGCCGCGGUAAUACGGAGGGGGUUAGCGUUGUUCGGAAUUACUGGGCGUAAAGCGCACGUAGGCGGACCGGAAAGUUGGGGGUGAAAUCCCGGGGCUCAACCCCGGAACUGCCUCCAAAACUAUCGGUCUAGAGUUCGAGAGAGGUGAGUGGAAUUCCGAGUGUAGAGGUGAAAUUCGUAGAUAUUCGGAGGAACACCAGUGGCGAAGGCGGCUCACUGGCUCGAUACUGACGCUGAGGUGCGAAAGUGUGGGGAGCAAACAGGAUUAGAUACCCUGGUAGUCCACACCGUAAACGAUGAAUGCCAGUCGUCGGGUAGCAUGCUAUUCGGUGACACACCUAACGGAUUAAGCAUUCCGCCUGGGGAGUACGGUCGCAAGAUUAAAACUCAAA
rnacentral:rRNA from 1 species